rnacentral:rRNA from 1 species
GAUGAACGCUGGCGGCGUGCCUAAUACAUGCAAGUCGAGCGAACAGACGAGGAGCUUGCUCCUCUGACGUUAGCGGCGGACGGGUGAGUAACACGUGGAUAACCUACCUAUAAGACUGGGAUAACUUCGGGAAACCGGAGCUAAUACCGGAUAAUAUAUUUAACCGCAUGGUUCAAUAGUGAAAGACGGUUUUGCUGUCACUUAUAGAUGGAUCCGCGCCGCAUUAGCUAGUUGGUAAGGUAACGGCUUACCAAGGCAACGAUGCGUAGCCGACCUGAGAGGGUGAUCGGCCACACUGGAACUGAGACACGGUCCAGACUCCUACGGGAGGCAGCAGUAGGGAAUCUUCCGCAAUGGGCGAAAGCCUGACGGAGCAACGCCGCGUGAGUGAUGAAGGUCUUCGAAUCGUAAAACUCUGUUAUUAGGGAAGAACAAAUGUGUAAGUAACUAUGCACGUCUUGACGGUACCUAAUCAGAAAGCCACGGCUAACUACGUG